CUUUCAGGAGCACGUUUCCUAGGGCACGGUAAUGCCAUGCCGUGAGAGCAAGAGAGGAGGUAGGGAAAAGGAAGUUGGCUUUCCUGGCGGCGGCGCGCUGCAGCCUGGUCUUUCGGCCGUGCUGCAGCCUGGUCUUUCGGCGCUCGCGAAUUCCUGGCCGUCAGCUGCGCAACCUCCUCUAGUUCGGCUCCAUAACUAUGGAGAUUUGCUCCCUGCUCAGCAACUCGCCUAAAAUCGCUAGCUCUCUGUUCCUAUUCCUCCUCUCGGUUCCAGUCACGGUUUGGAUCGAUUCCUUCGAUUCUUGGUGUUCUGGUGUUAAUCCUGCUGGUGGAAGAAGGUGGAGGUGGCCCUGCUUGUGCGCAGCGCGGUUUUCCUGCGCUCCGUUGUCUCACCAGUGCACCUGUGUGGUGCUCUGUCUGUUCUGAUUAUUGUCCACCGUGGACUGGUGCCUGGGCUCCCUGUUGCGUGGUGUUCGUCUUCUCGGGCUGGUGUCGUGGACGUCUCCCUCGGCUCCGGCAGCGGCUCUAGUAUCUCCGUCAACCUCCCGCCGUGCAGGCCCGGACGUGGGCGACGGAAUUGGUUUUCUGGGACAGAACCUUGUGUUCGCUGAGCUGGUCUUCCCACGUAGACAAUCUACGUGUUGUGAGUUAUUCGUUGUCUUACUUUAUUUACUGUUUAAUUUUGUGCAAUCUGCUAGUAUCAAAUACUUGGGUGUGAUUGCACUGUUGUGGGCGGAUUUAUGUGUUCGAUGAUGAUAGCGGUGUAGUGAGACAGCGUGACAGUCUGGGUUUUAGUGUAUUAUCAUUUUCAGCAUUGAUAUUAUUUGUGCCUAAUUAAAUCUCUCUUUGUUGAGGCUGUUUACCUGUGUUAAAUUCUGUUAAUUUAUUUAAUACACAGCUCCUUACUAUCAGUAUUUAUAUUUGAUUAUUAGGCUUAUUAUAUCUGAUAUAAAACCCUUAUUUGGUAAGAUAGGACUGUCACGUUAGUCGAGGAUCUCUGAUCACCUUUUAGCGUUGGAGGGCUGUUUAUUACAGCAACCCGCUACUUUGAGAGCAAUAUUUUAAGAUAAACGAUCAUGUUUAUUUAUUUAAUCUGCCUUCUUCAUGUGCAAGCCAUGUUUAAUUAUAAAAUGGACCUGAGAAGCUAUUUUACAUGUUUACAUGUUCUAGAAUUGCUACUGUUCAUUGCUGCAAUAAUUACAUAUGGCAUUUAUCUGAGUUAUAUGCUUGUUUUAUUCGGAAUUAGAAUAUUUAAUCUAUUUAAAUAUGUAGAAAGCAUGUCACUUAUUUCUCUAAGCUUACAACAUGAACUCUUUGCCAAAAUGUAGCCUUAGUUUGAUUCGUCCCUUUUGUUGGAUCCAUACUGACAUUCAACCGUGCUCCAAUGAGAAGUGGUGGCUGCUGCCACUCAUAUUGUGUAUUGCAAGCGUCUGUGAAACUCUCGUCAUAUAAGGCUUGUUCCAGCAGACCGGUGAAAUUCUCCCUACCCCGACAAAAACUACUCAAUCAUAGUAAAUCGAUGUAUCUAUGGGACCAAUCUGGUGGAACGGCUGAAUAAUAAGAAUCACAACCAUGUUCUGUGGAGGAUUCCUUACAUCGAUUUAUCACAUGAGGUCCUGACGCACCUGGUCACCCUGGCGGCGCGUCGGCAAGAACACUGGUCUUGACGCACGGAAGAGAAGGCCUGGUCUCCCUAACGGCGCGUGCGUCCCGGCUGCACGAACUGCUAUAUUUAGAAGUCUAUUUAGAGAGCUUUUGAAGAAACGACUUUUUAUUUAACUAUUGGAGUUGCGCCCUAUGGGACUAGAUUGCAUCAAGAAGAUUCUGCAGCUUCAAGAA